AUGUCUGGCCUGAAAGUUAACUUUCAGAAAAGUGAGAUUCUCACUGUGGGUGGAGAUGAAAGUGUGGUGAAUAAAUACGCAGAAAUCUUUAAUUGUGAGGUUGGCAGCUUCCCACUCAAAUACGGGAUGCCUGUGAGUUAUGCUAAUCUAAAAACUUAUGAUUGGGAGUUUAUUGUUGGUAAAUACCUAAAGAGGUUCGAGGCCUGGAUCAGCAACGCUGCCUCAAUGGGGGGGAGACAUACUCUGCUCGAUUAUGUCGUCACACAGAUCCCUCUCUACCACAUGUCUAUGUGGCUCAUGAACAAAACCUUCAUUGUGAGGCUAGAUAAACACAGACGCAGGUUCUUUUGGCAAGGUUGCAACAAAAAAAGGAGAUACUAUCUUGUUAAGUGGAGCAAGAUAUGUAGAUCCAAAGACAAAGGGGGGUUAGGUAUAAAAGAUCUUAGAAAGCAAAAUAUUAGCCUCAUGGUUAAAUGGUGGUGGAAGUUAGAGACACAAAACGGGCUAUGGCAGGAUAUAGUCCGGGCCAGGUAUCUUCGCAACACCUCUGUUAUUGAAGUUUCUCCCAAAUUCUCCGACUCGCCCUGUUGGAAAGCCUUGCUCAAGAUUAAAAACAUAUAUAUGAUGGGCAGAAAGAUUGAAACUGGUGCUGGGAACUUGAUUAGACUGUGGAAAGAUCCAAUAAAUGGGCUGAUCCCAUUUCAGGAUCAAUAUCCACGCUUGUUUGAGAUCUGCAAUUACCCAACGAGUACCCUGGACAAAAGAGAUAGACUUGAUGACGCCUCUAUGUUCAGACGUAGGCUUACCCCUGAGCUGUCCAAACUAUGGGAAGAUAUGCGUGCUGUAGUUAAUAGAAUUCCCCUUGAUGAGAGGGGUGAUCGUAUUUUUUGGGGACUCAACCAGAAUGGCUAG
rnacentral:rRNA from 1 species